AGCUUGCUCCUUUGACGUUGCGGCGGACGGGUGAGUAACACGUGGAUAACCUACCUAUAAGACUGGGAUAACUUCGGGAAACCGGAGCUAAUACCGGAUAACAUAUUGAACCGCAUGGUUCAAUAGUGAAAGGCGGCUUUGCUGUCACUUAUAGAUGGAUCCGCGCCGUAUUAGCUAGUUGGUAAGGUAACGGCUUACCAAGGCAACGAUACGUAGCCGACCUGAGAGGGUGAUCGGCCACACUGGAACUGAGACACGGUCCAGACUCCUACGGGAGGCAGCAGUAGGGAAUCUUCCGCAAUGGGCGAAAGCCUGACGGAGCAACGCCGCGUGAGUGAUGAAGGUCUUCGGAUCGUAAAACUCUGUUAUCAGGGAAGAACAAAUGUGUAAGUAACUGUGCACAUCUCGACGGUACCUGAUCAGAAAGCCACGGCUAACUACGUGCCAGCAGCCGCGGUAAUACGUAGGUGGCAAGCGUUAUCCGGAAUUAUUGGGCGUAAAGCGCGCGUAGGCGGUUUUUUAAGUCUGAUGUGAAAGCCCACGGCUCAACCGUGGAGGGUCAUUGGAAACUGGAAAACUUGAGUGCAGAAGAGGAAAGUGGAAUUCCAUGUGUAGCGGUGAAAUGCGCAGAGAUAUGGAGGAACACCAGUGGCGAAGGCGACUUUCUGGUCUGUAACUGACGCUGAUGUGCGAAAGCGUGGGGAUCAAACAGGAUUAGAUACCCUGGUAGUCCACGCCGUAAACGAUGAGUGCUAAGUGUUAGGGGGGUUUCCGCCCCUUAGUGCUGCAGCUAACGCAUUAAGCACUCCGCCUGGGGGAGUACGACCGCAAGGUUGAAACUCAAAGGAAUUGACGGGGACCCGCACAAGCGGUGGAGCAUGUGGUUUAAUUCGAAGCAACGCGAAGAACCUUACCAAAUCUUGACAUCCUUUGACCGCUCUAGAGAUAGAGUUUUCCCCUUCGGGGGACAAAGUGACAGGUGGUGCAUGGUUGUCGUCAGCUCGUGUCGUGAGAUGUUGGGUUAAGUCCCGCAACGAGCGCAACCCUUAAGCUUAGUUGCCAUCAUUAAGUUGGGCACUCUAAGUUGACUGCCGGUGACAAACCGGAGGAAGGUGGGGAUGACGUCAAAUCAUCAUGCCCCUUAUGAUUUGGGCUACACACGUGCUACAAUGGACAAUACAAAGGGCAGCUAAACCGCGAGGUCAAGCAAAUCCCAUAAAGUUGUUCUCAGUUCGGAUUGUAGUCUGCAACUCGACUACAUGAAGCUGGAAUCGCUAGUAAUCGUAGAUCAGCAUGCUACGGUGAAUACGUUCCCGGGUCUUGUACACACCGCCCGUCACACCACGAGAGUUUGUAACACCCGAAGCCGGUGGAGUAACC
rnacentral:rRNA from 1 species